UACAUGUGGGGCAAGCGUUGUUCGGAAUUACUGGGCAUAAAGGGUGCGUAGGUGGUUUGUUAAGUCACGGGUGAAAGUUUUCGGCCCAACCGGAAAAUUGCCUGUGAUACUGGCGAACUUGAGUGCGUGAGGGGUAACCGGAACGAGCAGUGUAGCGGUGAAAUGCGUAGAUAUUGCUCGGAAGGCCAGAGGCGAAGGCGGGUUACUGGUACGCAACUGACGCUGAGGCGCGAAAGCUAGGGGAGCAAACAGG
rnacentral:rRNA from 1 species